rnacentral:rRNA from 1 species
CCCCAUAGGUCACCUAUGCUGGAAUGCUUGGUGACUGAAAGUUCCGGCGGCACAGGAUGUUUCUGCGGCCUAUCAGGUAGUAGUCAGGGUAAUGACCUGACUAGCCUACGACGGGUACGGGCGUUGAGAGACGUUGCCCGGAGAUGGACUCUGAGACACGAGUCCAGGCCCUACGGGGCGCAGCAGGCGCGAAAACUUCGCAAUGUGGGAAACCACGACGAGGGAACUCCAAGUGCCAGCACACAGUGUUGGCUGUUUUCAAGCCUAAAAAGCUUGAAGAGUAAGGGCUGGGUAAGACGGGUGCCAGCCGCCGCGGUAAUACCUGCAGCUCGAGUGGUGGUCGCUUUUAUUGGGCCUAAAACGUCCGUAGCCUGUCAUGUAAAUGCUUGGGUAAAUCGAAGGGCUUAACUCUUCGAAUUCCGGGUAGACUGCAUGACUAGGGACCGGGAGAGGUUAGAGGUACUCCGGGGGUAGAGGUGAAAUUCUGUAAUCCUCGGGGGACCACCAGUGGCGAAGGCGUCUAACUAGAACGGGUCCGACGGUGAGGGACGAAGCCCUGGGGCGCAAACGGGAUUAGAUACCCCGGUAGUCCAGGGUGUAAACGCUGCGCGCUUGGUGUUGGGGCGGCCACGAGCCGGCCCAGUGCCGGAGAGAAGUUGUUAAGCGCGCUGCCUGGGGAGUACGGUCGCAAGACUGAAACUUAAAGGAAUUGGCGGGGGGAGCACUGCAACGGGUGGAGCGUGCGGUUUAAUUGGAUUCAACGCCGGAAAACUCACCAGGAGCGACUACCGCAUGAGACUCAGCUGAUGGUCUUAGUCGAUAAUCAGUAGAGAGGUGGUGCAUGGCCGUCGUCAGUUCGUACCGUAAAGGCGUUCUGUUAAG